GAUGAACGCUAGCUACAGGCUUAACACAUGCAAGUCGGGGGGCGAGCAUUUCAGUUUGCUUGCAAACUGGAGAUGGCGACCGGCGCACGGGUGAGUAACACGUAUCCAACCUGCCGAUAACUCGGGGAUAGCCUUUCGAAAGAAAGAUUAAUACCCGAUAGUAUAAUUAGACCGCAUGGUCUUAUUAUUAAAGAAUUUCGGUUAUCGACGGGGAUGCGUUCCAUUAGGCAGUUGGUGAGGUAACGGCCCACCUAGUCUUCGAUGGAUAGGGGUUCUGAGAGGAAGGUCCCCCCACAUUGGAACUGAGACACGGUCCAAACUCCUACGGGAGGCAGCAGUGAGGAAUAUUGGUCAAUGGGCGAGAGCCUGAACCAGCCAAAGUAGCGUGAAGGAUGAACU
rnacentral:rRNA from 1 species